ensembl:snoRNA
CACCCCAUCUUCACUUUGCCACCAGGGCUGUUAAUGUGCUGAGUGGUCAUUCACAUGGGGGAAAGUAUUCCAUCCUUAAGAACCCCAGUCUAACUCGUGUUUGACCUGGGGUUGUAUUGAGGAGACAGCA